AGGAUCCUGAAGUGAGGAGUGGAAAGUAAUGACAUUAUAUCAAUUAUAUCCAUAGACAAUAUAUCAAAAAUUAUAAAUUUGUGAAGAUAAAAGCAUUUUAUCCUGAAGUUAGGAGUUGAAAGCACUAAAUCAAUGAAGCUGUUGAACUCUUGACAAAACUCCAUCGACUAGUCAUGUUUUUCUCAAGUUUUCCAAGGUAUUUCUGCAUAAAAUUGGAUUUUCCUGGCUGUGUUGUUCUCGUGAUAGUAAAUGGCAAGCUGGAAGCAAAACAACAAGUCAAAACUAUUCCUGUGCAAACUGAUCUACAUUUUGAAUCAUAAUCACCUGGAAUCUGUAAAGAACCGAUUCGUCCUGAUCCCCCACUGUAAUGUUAGAGAUAUCCCAACCAAACCUGCAUGGGUAGAUGUACCCAAGCUUGCAUAGUAAUGUGGCCAAGUGGGAUGCCUCUGUGGUAAGAUUCUUCAUCAACCAUUCUACUAAAGCUGCUGACGUAAAUGCGUCAGGUACCCCGUAUUUGUGACACUCCAGUUUAGAAGUACAUGCAGAUUUGCUGGCUUCUUCGCUGAUGGUUGAAGGCAUUUGCAUUGUGGUUCUGAUGCUCUCUUUCUCCCAUUGCAUGAGCAAUAUAAGUGCAGAAAUCUGGGAAAGUUUUGGCUUAAUUGAAUUUGGAAGUCUACAGUGAAAUUCCACAAUAUAAUUUUUGAGUUUUGAAUU